UUCCCUGUGGCUCAGUUGGUAGAGCAUGGUGUUUACAACGCCAGGGUUGUGGGUUCGAUUCCCACGGGGGGCA
rfam:Salmo salar isolate Sally breed double haploid chromosome ssa10, whole genome shotgun sequence.